rnacentral:rRNA from 1 species
GACGAACGCUGGCGGCGUGCUUAACACAUGCAAGUCGAGCGGAAAGGCCACUUCGGUGGUACUCGAGCGGCGAACGGGUGAGUAACACGUGAGUAAUCUGCCCCUGGCUUUGGGAUAACCACCGGAAACGGUGAUUAAUACCUGAUACGACCACUUCUCGCAUGGGAUGGUGGUGGAAAUUUUUUUCGGCCAGGGAUGUGCUCGCGGCCUAUCAGCUUGAUGGUGAGGUAAUGGCUCACCAUGGCUUCGACGGGUAGCCGGCCUGGGAGGGUGACCGGUCACACUGGGACUGAGACACGGCCCAGACUCCUACGGGAGGCAGCAGUGGGGAAUAUUGGACAAUGGGCGGAAGCCUGAUCCAGCAACGCCGCGUGAGGGAUGACGGCCUUCGGGUUGUAAACCUCUUUCAGCAGGGACGAAGCGCAAGUGACGGUACCUGCAGAAGAAGCACCGGCCAACUACGUGCCAGCCGCCGCAGUAA